UUAAAGGAAUUGACGGAAGGGCMCCACAAGAAGUGGAGCCUGCGGCUUAAUUUGACUCAACGCGGGAAAUCUCACCAGGCCAGGACACUGGAAGGAUUGACAGAUUGAGAGCUCUUUCUUGAUUCGGUGGGUGGUGGUGCAUGGCCGUUCUUAGUUGGUGGAGCGAUUUGUCUGCUUAAUUGCGAUAACGAACGAGACCCUUUCCUGCUAACUAGUCGAUACCGGCAUCCUUGGUGCAGCCGGCGACUCUCAAUCUUCUUAGAGGGACGGGUGGCUCCUAGCCGCACGAAACUGGGCAAUAACAGGUCUGUGAUGCCCUUAGAUGUCCUGGGCAGCACGCGCGCUACACUGAAGGAAUCAAAGUGUGUUUUCCUAGCCCGAGAGGGCCGGGUAACCCGCUCAAACCCCUUCGUGCUAGGGAUUGGGGCUUGAAAUUUUUCCCCAUGAACGAGGAAUUCCUAGUAAGCGGAAGUCAUAACCUUCUGUUGAUUAUGUCCCUGCCCUUUGUACACACCGCCCGUCGCUACUACCGAUUGAAUAUUUUAGUGAGGCCUUCGGACCGUGCCGCGGCGCCUUCGCGGGCCUGCGUUACGGAAAGAUGUCCGAACUUGAAUAUUUAGAGGAAGUAAAAGUCGUAACAAGGUUUCC
rnacentral:rRNA from 1 species